rnacentral:rRNA from 1 species
GAGACUCUGUGCGCGUGCAUAUCAAUAAGCGGAGGAAAAGAAACUAACAAGGAUUCCCUUAGUAACGGCGAGUGAAGCGGGAAGAGCUCAAAUUUGAAAUCUUCAAGGUUCUACCUUGGCGAAUUGUAGUUUAUAGAAGUGUUUUCUGUUAGUAGAGUGGCAAAAGUUCUUUGGAAUAGGACAUCAUAGAGGGUGAGAAUCCCGUAUUUGGUCAUUCUUUCUAGCUUUGUGAUACACUUUCAACGAGUCGGAUUGUUUGGGAAUGCAGUCCAAAAUGGGUGGUAAAUUUCAUCUAAAGCUAAAUAUUGGCGAGAGACCGAUAGCGAACAAGUACCGUGAGGGAAAGAUGAAAAGAACUUUGAAAAGAGAGUUAAACAGUACGUGAAAUUGUCAAAAGGGAAGCGUUUGACACCAGUGUUGUUUUUUCCGAAAAUCAAUUACGAAUGUUUUGUUUUUGAGGAGUUAUGACUUCAUCGGCUUGCUUCUCUCUUUACGAAACUUUCUUAAUGCACCUUUCGGUUAACAAGUCAACAUCAAUUUCUUUUGUUGUAAAAGGGUAUGAGGAAGGUGGCUUUCUUUUCGGAGAAAGUGUUUACUAGCCUUGUGACCUCUGCAAUCGGAGAGAUUGAGGUCUGCAGCGUAGAUCCUUCGGGGUUAGAUACAUUUGUGCUAAGCUAUAGCCUUGUAUAGACAACUUGUUGACUAUGUCUCAGUCUUGUAGCUUACUCGCUUAUGCUAUUUUACCUACGCUUAGGAUGUUGAACUCUAUCACACACAG